CCUACGGGUGGCAGCAGUGAGGAAUAUUGGUCAAUGGACGAGAGUCUGAACCAGCCAAGUAGCGUGAAGGAUGACUGCCCUAUGGGUUGUAAACUUCUUUUAUAUGGGAAUAAAAUGUUCCACGUGUGGGAUUUUGUAUGUACCAUAUGAAUAAGGAUCGGCUAACUCCGUGCCAGCAGCCGCGGUAAUACGGAGGAUCCGAGCGUUAUCCGGAUUUAUUGGGUUUAAAGGGAGCGUAGGUGGAUUGUUAAGUCAGUUGUGAAAGUUUACGGCUCAACCGUAAAAUUGCAGUUGAAACUGGCAGUCUUGAGUACAGUAGGGGUGGGCGGAAUUCGUGGUGUAGCGGUGAAAUGCUUAGAUAUCACGAAGAACUCCGAUUGCGAAGGCAGUUCACUGGACUGCAACUGACACUGAGGCUCGAAAGUGUGGGUAUCAAACAGGAUUAGAUACCCCAGUAGUC
rnacentral:rRNA from 1 species